UACGUAGGGUGCAAGCGUUGUCCGGAAUUAUUGGGCGUAAAGAGCUCGUAGGCGGUUUGUUGCGUCGGCUGUGAAAUCCCGAGGCUCAACCUCGGGUCUGCAGUCGAUACGAGCAAACUAGAGUGUUGCAGGGGAGACUGGAAUUGCUGGUGUAGCGGUGAAAUGCGCAGAUAUCAGGAGGAACACCGGUGGCGAAGGCGGGUCUCUGGGCCGUAACUGACGCUGAGGAGCGAAAGCGUGGGGAGCGAACAGG
rnacentral:rRNA from 1 species